AGCAGCCGCGGUAAUUCCAGCUCCAAUAGCGUAUAUUAAAGUUGUUGCAGUUAAAAGCUCGUAGUUGAAUUUCGGGAUCAAUAUAUCGGUCGUGCCUUGGUACGUACUGGUAUCAUUGGUUUCUCCUUUCUGACGAACCAUGAUGUCAUUAAUUUGGUGUUAUGGGAAGUUAGGACUGUUACUUUGAAAAAUUGGAGUGUUUAAAGCAGGCUUUGGCUUGAAUACAUUAGCAUGGAAUAAUGAAAUAGGACGUUCGAACCUAUUUUGUUGGUUUCUAGGAUCAACGUAAUGAUUAAUAGGGAUAGUUGGGGCAUUAGUAUUCAAUUGUCAGAGGUGAAAUUCUUGGAUUUAUUGAAGACUAACUACUGCGAAAGCAUUUGCCAAGGAUGUUUUCAUUAAUCAAGAACGAAAGUUAGGGAUCGAAGACGAUCAGAUACCGUCGUAGUCUUAACCAUAAACUAUGCCGACUAGGGAUCGGAUGAUGUUAAUUUUUUAAUGACUCAUUCGGCGCCUUACGGGA
rnacentral:misc_RNA from 1 species